AUAGAAUACUCAAGCUAUGCAUCCAACGCGUUGGGAGCUCUCCCAUAUGGUCGACCUGCAGGCGGCCGCGAAUUCACUAGUGAUUGGGAUCGCCCUUAGAGUUUGAUCCUGGCUCAGGAUGAACGCUGGCGGCGUGCCUAAUACAUGCAAGUCGAGCGAACAGACGAGGAGCUUGCUCCUCUGACGUUAGCGGCGGACGGGUGAGUAACACGUGGAUAACCUACCUAUAAGACUGGGAUAACUUCGGGAAACCGGAGCUAAUACCGGAUAAUAUAUUGAACCGCAUGGUUCAAUAGUGAAAGACGGUUUUGCUGUCACUUAUAGAUGGAACCGCGCCGCAUUAGCUAGUUGGUAAGGUAACGGCUUACCAAGGCAACGAUGCGUAGCCGACCUGAGAGGGUGAUCGGCCACACUGGAACUGAGACACGGUCCAGACUCCUACGGGAGGCAGCAGUAGGGAAUCUUCCGCAAUGGGCGAAAGCCUGACGGAGCAACGCCGCGUGAGUGAUGAAGGUCUUCGGAUCGUAAAACUCUGUUAUUAGGGAAGAACAAAUGUGUAAGUAACUAUGCACGUCUUGACGGUACCUAAUCAGAAAGCCACGGCUAACUACGUGCCAGCAGCCGCGGUAAUACGUAGGUGGCAAGCGUUAUCCGGAAUUAUUGGGCGUAAAGCGCGCGUAGGCGGUUUUUUAAGUCUGAUGUGAAAGCCCACGGCUCAACCGUGGAGGGUCAUUGGAAACUGGAAAACUUGAGUGCAGAAGAGGAAAGUGGAAUUCCAUGUGUAGCGGUGAAAUGCGCAGAGAUAUGGAGGAACACCAGUGGCGAAGGCGACUUUCUGGUCUGUAACUGACGCUGAUGUGCGAAAGCGUGGGGAUCAAACAGGAUUAGAUACCCUGGUAGUCCACGCCGUAAACGAUGAGUGCUAAGUGUUAGGGGGUUUCCACCCCUUAGUGCUGCAGCUAACGCAUUAAGCACUCCGCCUGGGGAGUACGACCGCAAGGUUGAAACUCAAAGGAAUUGACGGGGACCCGCACAAGCGGUGGAGCAUGUGGUUUAAUUCGAAGCAACGCGAAGAACCUUACCAAAUCUUGACAUCCUCUGACCCCUCUAGAGAUAGAGUUUUCCCCUUCGGGGGACAGAGUGACAGGUGGUGCAUGGUUGUCGUCAGCUCGUGUCGUGAGAUGUUGGGUUAAGUCCCGCAACGAGCGCAACCCUUAAGCUUAGUUGCCAUCAUUAAGUUGGGCACUCUAAGUUGACUGCCGGUGACAAACCGGAGGAAGGUGGGGAUGACGUCAAAUCAUCAUGCCCCUUAUGAUUUGGGCUACACACGUGCUACAAUGGACAAUACAAAGGGCAGCGAAACCGCGAGGUCAAGCAAAUCCCAUAAAGUUGUUCUCAGUUCGGAUUGUAGUCUGCAACUCGACUAUAUGAAGCUGGAAUCGCUAGUAAUCGUAGAUCAGCAUGCUACGGUGAAUACGUUCCCGGGUCUUGUACACACCGCCCGUCACACCACGAGAGUUUGUAACACCCGAAGCCGGUGGAGUAACUAUUUGGAGCUAGCCGUCGAAGGUGGGACAAAUGAUUGGGGUGAAGUCGUAACAAGGUAGCCGUAAAGGGCGAUCCAAUCGAAUUCCCGCGGCCGCCAUGGCGGCCGGGAGCAUGCGACGUCGGGCCCAAUUC
rnacentral:rRNA from 1 species